AGGGGAAAGAUAACUUGUGAGCAAAACUGCCAUUUGUGAAUUUGGAACACAUGGUUACUGGCCCACCUUCCCACCCCCCAAAAUCUUGUUUUUCAGACCUAAAUCUUCUCACUACUGCAACCAGCCCCUUCUCUACAACCUGGUGGGAAGCAUCAUCCUGACAUUCUUCGCUACAGGGCUGGCUUUGAUCUUAGCCCUGACGCCGCACAUCCCAUGGGAGCUGAGAGCCACAAUCUCGGUUUUUGGACUUGCCUCUUUUGCAGAAGGCGCUUAUAUCACUCUACUCACUGCCUUGGCCCCACAAUGCGCCAGAACCACUCCUGAGCUCUAUUACCUCUCGAUGAUUCUGUCAGCGGCUAGCAUAAUAUCGGCCA